CAAGAGAAGCUUCACAUGCACCACAACCUGAAUCUUCUAAAGUCUAGCUAUGUGGCAAACUUAUCUGAAUCUACAACCAAAGAGGAUCUUAGGGAAGUUUUUGGUUAUUUUGGAAGAAUAGCUAGCACUGUAGUUGUGAGAGUGAAGAUGGAAAAUCAAAGUGUUUUGGAUUCGUCAAGUUUAAGGAUGCCAAUGAGGCUUCUUGGAGUAUAGAAGUGCUUAAUGGCCACAAAAUUGAUAACAAAGAAGUGGUGUGUGAGAAGAGCUCAGAAGAAGAAGAGUGUUAAAAGAGCU